rnacentral:rRNA from 1 species
UACGUAGGUGGCAAGCGUUGUCCGGAUUUACUGGGCGUAAAGAGCGCGCAGGCGGUCGAUCAGUCGAGUGUGAAAGCCCCCGGCUCAACUGGGGAGGGUCAUUCGAUACUGAUCGACUCGAAGGCAGGAGAGGGUAGUGGAAUUCCCGGUGUAGUGGUGAAAUGCGUAGAUAUCGGGAGGAACACCAGUGGCGAAGGCGACUACCUGGCCUGUUCUUGACGCUGAGGCGCGAAAGCUAGGGGAGCAAACGGG